rnacentral:rRNA from 1 species
CCUACGGGAUGCAGCAGUGAGGAAUAUUGGUCAAUGGACGCAAGUCUGAACCAGCCAUGCCGCGUGCAGGAAGACGGCUCUAUGAGUUGUAAACUGCUUUUGUACGAGGGUAAACGCAGAUACACGUAUCUUUCUGAAAGUAUCGUACGAAUAAGGAUCGGCUAACUCCGUGCCAGCAGCCGCGGUAAUACGGAGGAUUCAAGCGUUAUCCGGAUUUAUUGGGUUUAAAGGGUGCGUAGGCGGUCGGAUAAGUUAGAGGUGAAAUCCCGAGGCUCAACUUCGGAAUUGCCUCUGAUACUGUUCGGCUAGAGAGUAGUUGCGGUAGGCGGAAUGUAUGGUGUAGCGGUGAAAUGCUUAGAGAUCAUACAGAACACCGAUUGCGAAGGCAGCUUACCAAGCUACUUCUGACGUUGAGGCACGAAAGCGUGGGGAGCAAACAGGAUUAGAUACCCUUGUAGUC